UACAAUGAAAACACUUUUAAGUACUGCCAAAAAUGUGAAUUGAUCGGUUUUUUUUUAUAAAGAAAUAAAAAGAAGUCAAUCCUCUUUACGAAGGAACUUUUUUGUUACUUAUCAAACACGAUAUUGGCAGUUGCGUUAAUUAUACACGCGUUAAAGGUGCAGCUGCGUGCGUUUUUAAGGCACGGCCCAACACGAGCACGAAAAAAACUUUAUCGAACACGCACUGAAAAAAUGUACUCGGUCACGUUCCAGCGCAGCUCAAGAAGUUUUAAAUUACUUUCUUCAUUUCCAAAUUUAAGAAAAGGAGUAUAUACUUUACUUAAGUUUUUCGACUGCUGUGCGUUGGAAAACUCGGAAAAUUCGUGGGUUGGACUUUUGGUUUGCCGACAAAGACAGAUAUCUACACCAUCAGUACAUCAGGUUGAAGCUGCAAACAAAGCGAUACUCCAUACUGAAAACUAACUGAGAAGCAGGACUUUUGAAAAGGUCAAAUGGAUCUUACUGUAAGGACCGCAAGGAUACCUUUUCUCGAAUGCUAUCUUCGAUCCUGUCCUGCCCUAAAUUAUUUACUAGGGUGAUAUGAUAUCAUUUAUAAAAACAUCUGCGAGUAUCUAAAAUCCUUGAGACUUAUAGUGCGCUAGUUGAUAACAUUCUCAGAAUGGUUGACAAUAUAUUAUUACAUAAGAAAUCGUA